rnacentral:rRNA from 1 species
CACGAAGUUAGCCGGGGCUUCUUCUCCGGGUACCGUCAUUAUCGUCCCCGGUGAAAGAGCUUUACAAUCCUAAGACCUUCAUCACUCACGCGGCAUGGCUGGAUCAGGCUUGCGCCCAUUGUCCAAUAUUCCCCACUGCUGCCUCCCGUAGGAGUUUGGGCCGUGUCUCAGUCCCAAUGUGGCUGGUCAUCCUCUCAGACCAGCUAUGGAUCGUCGCCUUGGUAGGCCUUUACCCCACCAACUAGCUAAUCCAACGCGGGCUCAUCUUGAACCGAUAAAUCUUUCCCCCUAAGGGCACAUACGGUAUUAAUUCCAGUUUCCCGGAGCUAUCCCGUAGUUCAAGGUAGAUUCCCACGCGUUACUCACCCGUCUGCCACUCCCCUUGCGGGGCGUUCGACUUGCAUGUGUUAAGCCUGCCGCCAGCGUUCGUUCUGAGCCAGGAUCAAACUCU